ACGGCUCAGUAACACGUGGAUAACCUGCCGUUGGGUCCGGCAUAACUCCGGGAAACUGGAGAUAAUUCCGGAUAACGCACAUAUGCUGGAAUGCUUUAUGCGUAAAAUGGAUUCGUCUGCCCAAGGAUGGGUCUGCGGCCUAUCAGGUAGUAGUGGGUGUAAUGUACCUACUAGCCAACAACGGGUACGGGUUGUGAGAGCAAGAGCCCGGAGAUGGAUUCUGAGACAUGAAUCCAGGCCCUACGGGGCGCAGCAGGCGCGAAAACUUUACAAUGCGGGAAACCGUGAUAAGGGGACACCGAGUGCUAGCAUCAUAUGCUAGCUGUCCAGGUGUGUAAAAUACACCUGUCAGCAAGGGCCGGGCAAGACCGGUGCCAGCCGCCGCGGUAACACCGGCGGCCCGAGUGGUGAUCGUGAUUAUUGGGUCUAAAGGGUCCGUAGCCGGUUUGGUCAGUCCUCCGGGAAAUCCGAUAGCUCAACUAUUAGGCUUUCGGGGGAUACUGCCAGACUUGGAACCGGGAGAGGUAAGAGGUACUACAGGGGUAGGAGUGAAAUCUUGUAAUCCCUGUGGGACCACCUGUGGCGAAGGCGUCUUACCAGAACGGGUUCGACGGUGAGGGACGAAAGCUGGGGGCACGAACCGGAUUAGAUACCCGGGUAGUCCCAGCCGUAAACGAUGCUCGCUAGGUGUCAGGCAUGGCGCGACCGUGUCUGGUGCCGCUGGGAAGCCGUGAAGCGAGCCACCUGGGAAGUACGGCCGCAAGGCUGAAACUUAAAGGAAUUGGCGGGGGAGCAC
rnacentral:rRNA from 1 species